rnacentral:lncRNA from 1 species
GACAACUUUUAAUAAUAAACGUUAUGAUUUACCUACAAAUAGGGAUACUAUACUUAGCCUUUCAAACAAAUGAUUUCAAAGAAUACAAAAAUGAAUUGUGAUUUUUCUUCAAGUUCUCUUUUACCUUAUGUUGCUUAUCAUGAAAGGUAUUUUCCAAAUGAAUGAUCAGUUCAUUGAAAAGUAACAGCAAAGUGCUUUCAAGUGCACAUUAUGAAUAAUAAAGGAGUUGCACGGCUUACUGGAAAUACAUCCACAAGAGGACCAACAGCUCCUCCACUACCCAUCUUAUCAAUCAAGAGGCAACUGUCAUUUGACCAAGGAGAAAGGAAAACAACUGGCUUAUGAGUAAAAGCUGUGAUGUCCUUGCUGUGAUGACCUUCAUGAC